UUAUAUUAUUACAUUGAAUUCUGUAAAGUACAUGCCCAGACAAAUAAUCCCUUACAGAAGAGGGAUGUUCAUACUCCAUUCGUAUUGCACGAGGGAGAGGAAAUUUUUGAAAUAUUAAACAAAUAAGUACGUUAGCCCCCACAAAUGCUUUUGUGGGGGCUUGAACCGCUGCCCUCACAAUGCUUUGUGAGGUCAGCAGCCCAC
rnacentral:lncRNA from 1 species